rnacentral:lncRNA from 1 species
CUCCAUCCAAACAUGGCUCGAGAGAAACUGGAUCAGUUAUUAGUGAGUGCACACGGUUCCUCGAAAGAUCGUCUGGAGCUCCAACUGCAUCACCGUCAUGGUACACACAAUGCGCCAUCCGUGCAAGGUUGAAAGCCAUCCGCACAAAAGAUUGAUUGAAGGUUGAGUCAUUGACUAGAUAUUUGUUCAGCUUCUUCCACGUUGUGUCGAUCAGUUUGAUAACGUAUUUGCGAGCCUCUAACUCGGAGACCCCCAUUUCUUGCAUGCAACACCAGAUUGAAUUUGUCGUCUCUCCCCUCUCGAGCUCAGCCUAUUAGGAAAAUGUUUUUGCCAAUUGGUUUAGAAGAAGCUGCCCGAGAAAUUAUGAAUACGUGGACAGAAAUUUCAGUUGUUUCACUACAGAAAAAUGUGCCUGUAAAAGGUUCAUUGUGACACAAAAAAGAAGAAGAAAAAGAAUGAAGAGAGCUGUGCCUGUAUAAGGUUCAUUGUGACACGAAAAAAAAAAUACGGACUGAAGAGAGCUGAAAACAUGCAUACCGAUGAGGUAGCGAGAUCAUUGGUAAGACGGAAAAUCAUGGAUGGCAACCGCAAGAGAUCAUGGUAAUGUUCUAGUGAUUCAAGUUCCUCCUUUCUCAUGCUUGGACUGGAUAAAAAGUAGGCAUGAAUCAACAUGACAUGCCCUGAUACUGAAAUCCACCCGUUGUUUAAGUACUCUUCUACUCGUGGGGUGAUCUUGUUGUGACUCCAUUUAGCUUCUUGCAAGAAGGCUUCACACGAAUCAUACCACUACAAAACAGUAGAAACACCAAAUGUCCGUAUUACGUAGGAGAUUCCUUAAACAAAGAUGCAUGCAUGGUCGAUUAAUACAAUGUCGAGUCAUGUACCGCUUUUGUCAAAUACGGGAUGACAUUUUCCCGAGUCUCCUUGAGAGUGUCGUAAGCCAGUUCGUUCACGCUGUUGUAGAGAGCUAAGAAGCACAACUUCAUAUAGCCAGGAAGAUCUUCCACAGCAUUAAUGUCCCAUCUGAAACCACGAAUGAUAAGAUGACACUUAUGAAAUGCGUGAAUAUUAUUAUCUCCAGGCAUGUCGAUGAGAGAUGGACCUGCGAACAGCGUCUGUGAAUAGCUCCAGUUCGUCCAAUGUGCCAUAAAUAUCGUACACAUCGUCGAUGAUGACGUUCAGCAUGUUCACUUUGGUCAGCCCUUUCCGACAAUUACUGAGUGGAUGCUCAUCUGCCACUGCGACCGCUGCAAAGAAGCACUCCACUAGUCUAUCCCUCACGAAGUUUAGUUCGUUUGCGAGGCCAACAUUAUUCCACCAUCUGCAGCAAAUCAAAGAGUAAAAUUUUUAGAGUAUACAUUGCAAUUUUCUCGAACACAUGUCAAGCUUUCUAAAGUCUAAUUACCUUACAGUCCAUGAAUUCCAUCGUCCAUUAUAGGAUUUUUCCUCAUGAGUUUGCAGACUAACCUUGACAUUUCCUGAAGAUCUCUUUGGAGGAUUGAUUGCGACGUGUUGAAGUUCAGCACGGCAAAUUCGAGGAUUCGAUGAUUGGUGUAUCCGUGUCUGCUGUAAGCUUCAAUGGACUGUCGAGCUUCUAGCAAUGGCAUUCUACGGUGCAGAGGCAGUUCUAAUUCAUGUUUCACUUGGUCUUGAAGAUCUUUGUUGACGUUGCGAUUAAGAUUUCUGAGAUGCUCAAUGGCGAAUGAUCUAGCCCCGUGCAAGAUGUCUUCUUCUUCAAAGGCCAAAUGGGAGGCUUCGUGUAGACUCAGCAUACCUUGGACAUCACCACCAAGGGUCUUCAUAAAACUGCCACUUUCGUCCAUGAAAAUCUUUAAAACAUCUGUUUAUUCGAAGCCUAGAUUAGUCCAUCUGAUUAGAGAAAGAUACUAUGCAGUUUUUUUUAUUUAUAAAGCCCUUGGCUUAUGAGAGGAUAUGGUGAGGUCCUAUGCCGAGAGCUAUUAUAGAUGUCACUAUAACAAGUGUUUAGCAUGUCAUAGUGAUUACAGAAUACUUGUCUGUUUCAUAAAAUCAUUUCGAACCUUCAUACACAAGAGUUAGUAUAACAAAAAUUGCAAAAGCAUCUUGGUCCCACUUUUGAGAACUAUCUUCUAAUUGCUUUUGUUUCAUCAGAUUUACGAUGAAGUACCUUGAGAAACUUCAAAGCCGUGCUGUCUAAAAAUCCGAAAGCUUAGAGCUGUGCCAUGCAGAGACUUCUGCCGGCUCUUAUUGACCGCAUCAUUAGAGAGACAUCUGCGAAGAGCUCUCGAAAUGUCUUCCUCAAAAUGUUGGCCGAGUCCUAAGCGUUGAAAGUCAUCAACCAGAGCAAAUAUGGUCAUGGGUUCAGCUUUUUCGUCAUUGAGAGCACCUCUCACUUCUUCUUCCAACAUUUGUGCCUUUUCUCUCUGUAGCUCGACCUACGUUAGAAGAAAGUAAAAUCCACAGCUUAGUGUUUGAACCCUAGAAAAAAGCAAAGAAAGAUACUUCAAAGGAAGAGGUGGAAAUCUUCUAUCUAGUGGUCCCAUUUAUGUCACAUGCGUGGGAUUAUGACUGAUUUUUUAAGAUGAAAUAAUGUUGUGUAAAAGACGUCAAGAUACACGAGGAUAGAGGAUUUCAUCUUUUCAUGGCAUGCUGUAUUUUUUGAUAGGUUUAUAUUGUUAACUAAUCACAAAUGACAAUCGUUGAUGACUCUCUAUUCUCGUUUGGAUAAGACUUGCUACAUACUUGUUGGAAGAAAACCUCUUCCAAUCAAUAUUCGGGUUGGCGGAUACAAUACUGUGAAUGGCAUAAUUUUUGUAUGACGCUCACUUAAAUAUCAUAAUGUUUUUUCAAUUGUCUAAGUGUCAUAAUUUAUAUACGACACUCAUUUGAGUAUCAUAACUUUUUUUUCAAUCACUUAAAUACCAUAUAACUUUUCAAUCUAUUACUUAAAUGUCACAAAUUUUUUAAAAAACAUUCCAUGUUAGAUUUCUAAGAUUUGGAUAAGCAUUUAUAAAAGGGUUUGGCACUUAAGUGAUAGAUUAAAAGUUACAAUACUCAAGUAAACAUUUUUCAGAAGUUAUGGCACUCGAGUGAUCGAAAAAAAAAUUAUGAUACUUAGCGAAUGCUGUAACGAAAGUUAUGAUAGUUGUGGUGUUCCUUACCUUUAGUUAUAUCCAUAUUUCGAUGAUGGCCUUCCAAUUCAUCCAUCAAAAACAUGAUUAGAGGAAACUAGUUAUGGAGGAAAAUAUGACCUAUCAAUAAAAGUGAUAAAUCUUGAUUAUGAGACCACAUGAAUUAAUAAUUAUGACAAUGGGGAGAUCAUUAAAUCAAAUGUCAUACUCAUCAAGUUAGUACAGUGACGCCUAACAUAAAGUUACAGCACAACCAAGUUUGAUCGACAGUUUGUCCUAGGGUAAUUAUCCUCUCUAAUUCCAAAAUUUCAUCUAUGUUUUAUUGAGAACGUGAGAAUAAUUGAACUUCCAAUUAGACUAAAUUCCCACCGAUGCAUUGAGCUGCCUUGUCCACGUACCUGCAGCAAUGCUCCACCCACAAGUGGCCAAUGUAGGAACCAAGGCUACUUUGAGCGAAAGACAUUAAUGUCUCGUAUUCAAACCAAGUAUUUAACCACUCAUCUAAACAUUAUAUUUAAGUUCAAACCAAAUUACGAAAAUCGUCUUCUUUUCUUUUGACAGUAGCAUAAAUGUCUCGUAUGGAGAACAUAUAGCUAGAGUGUGGUUUUUUACCGCAUGACGAGAUUGACGGCUUUCAUCAGAAUCAAGUGACUGAAGGUAAUUGUGAGUCCAGACGGUUGGCUGAUAAUUGGCCGAUCUCCGUCGUCCUUGAGUAUCAGAGACCUGCGUGCUCGCUCAACAAUGGACUCGACCAUUAGCCGUUGGAGAGGGAAGCUUCGGAAGAUAAGGCGCGGACAAAAGACGAAGUGCCAUUACUCACACGAAUUGGACUAAGGCCAAUCCUACAAAAGGUGAAAACUCAAAGAUCAGUGCAUACUCUCAGUUAGCGUGAACGGUCCCUAUUUAUACAAAAUAUCUGAUUCCCUAGGACACAACGUUGGAAUACGCUACUAGAUUUUCGACUUCAAGCGAUCGUCGCUGUUGUCGUGACGGACCAUAUGCUCUUGUCCUCUCAUUUUUCUACGUAUGCUCGAUCACACGCUGCUGCUGGAUUGUCCCUCGUCGAAUCUUCUGUCCAUGUUGCUCAAUCACACGCUACUGGGCUCGCCUCUCGUCCAUCCGUUAGUGUCCUCGUGUUUUUAGCCGAACACCUGUUCGGAAACAAAUGGCGCACGAGAAGUUGUGUCAUUCUCAGGAUCGAAGAUUUUAUAUGGAGAUAUUCUCUCUAUAUACCAUCAUUAUUCUCCCGCAAGCUAUAAAGAGGGAAUCUGCACGGAACAUACAGUUAUGGAUGGUCCCUUGUUCUCCCAGAGAAGCAAGGCCCCACCUUCUGGGAAAGGGAUUGAUGCUCGAGAGAAAUAGGCUCGAUUAUCAAUGAGUGCAUACGGUUCCUCGACCGGUUGUCCGGAGCUCCAUGCGCAUCUCCAUCCUGGUACAUGAAAUGUGUUGUCCGGGCAAGAUUGUAAGCCAUCCGCACAAAAGAUUGAUCGAAGGUGGAGCCAUUGACUAGAUAUUUGUUCAUCUGUUUCCAAGAUGUGUCGAUCAAUUUCAUAACGUAAUCGCGAGCCACUGAUUCGGAGACCCCCAUCUCUUGCAUGUAACACAUGAUUGAAUUCGUUGUUUCUCCCCUCUCUAGCUCAGCCUGUUAGGACCAUAGUUUUGCCAAUUGUUUUAGCAGAAGAUUAUUUUAGAAGAAGCUAUCUAAAAGAUUAUUGAGUAUAUGGAUAUUAUGACUGCAGAAAAAAGAAGUAUUUGCAUAAGGUUAACUGUGAAACAGGAAAAAUCAAACUAGAGAGAGCUGAAAAAAAUGCAUACCGAUGAGGUACCGAGAUCAUUGGUAAGACCCAAAAUCAUGGAUGGCAAGCGCAAGAUAUCAUGGUAAUGUUCUAGCGAUUCUGGUUCCUCCCGUCUCAUGCUUGGGCUUGAUAAAAAGUAGGCAUGAAUCAAUAUGACAUGCCCUGAUGAUGAUAUCCACCCAUUGUUCAAGUACUCUUCAAAUCGUGGGUUAGUCUUGUUGUAGCUCCAUUUGGCUUCUUGCAAGAAGGAUUUGCACAAAUCAUACCACUGGGAAGCAAUAGAAAUACCAAAUUUACGUAUUAGGUAGGAAAUUCCUAAAAGUCGGAUGCGUACAUGGUCAGUUAGUACAAUGUCGAGUACUGAAAAGUCUUUUCGCUUACCGAUUUUGCUAGAUACGGGAUGACAAUUUUCCCGGUCUCCUUGAGAGUGUCGUAAGCGAUUUCGUUCACGCUGUUGAAGAGAGCUAAGAAGCACAACUUCAUAUAGCCAGGAAGAUCGUCCACAGCAUUGAUGUCCCAUCUGAAACCACACAAAUGACAAGGUGGAACCUCAACCUCUAAAAUGCAUGAACGUUAUUGUCUCCAAGUAAAUGGACGAACGAUGAACCUGCGAACAGCAUCAGUGAAUAGCUCCAGUUCGUCCAAUGUGCCAUAAACAUCGUACACAUCAUCGAUGAUGGUUAUCAGCGAGGUCACUUUGGUCAGCCGCUUCCGACAAUUAGCGAGCGUAGGUUCGUCUGCCACUCCAACCGCCCAAAAGAAGCACUCCAUUAGUCUAUCCCUCACGAAGUUCAAAUUUCUCGCGAGGGUAACAUCAUUCCACCAUCUGCGAUAACACAGUAUAAUUUUAGAGUAUGCAUUGCAAUUUUUCGAAUACAUGGGAAGCUUUCCAAAGUCUAAUUUCCUUAUAGCCCAUGAAUUCCAUCGUCCAUUGUAGGAUUUAUCCUCAUGAGUUUGCAGACUAGCCUUGACAUUUCCUGAAGAUCUCUUUGGAGGAUUGAUUGUGACGUGUUGAAGUUCGUCACGGCAAAUUCGGGGAUUCGAUGAUUGGUGUAUCCGCAUCUUCUGUAAGCUUCAAUGGACUGUCGAGCUUCUAGCAUUGGCAUUCUACAGUGCAGAGGCAGUUCUAAUUCAUGUUUCCCUUGGUCUUUGAGAUCUUUGUCGACGUUGCAAUUAAGGUUUCUGAGAUGCUCGAUGGCGAAUGAUCUAGCCUCUUGCAAGCUAUCUUCUUCUUCAAAGGCCAAAUGGGAGGCUUCGUGUAGACUCAGCAUUCCUUGGACAUCACCACCAAGGGUCUUCAUAAAACUGCCACUUUUGUCCAUGAAAAUCUUAAAAUCAUCUGUUUAUUCGAAGCCGAGAUUAGUCCAUCUGAUUAGAGAAAGAUACUAUGCAGUUUUUUAAUUUAUAAUGCCCUUCGCUCAUGAGAGGAUAUGGUGAGGUCCUAUGCUGAGAGCUAUUAUUGAUGUCACUACAAGUGUUUAGCACGUCAUAGUAAUUACAGAGUACUCGUCUGUUUCAUAUAAUCAUUUCGAACCUUCGUGCACAAAAGCUACGCUAGUAUAACAAAAAUUGCAAAAGCAUCUUGAUUUCACUUUUGAGAAUUAUCUUCUAAUUGCUUUUGUUUCAUCAGAUUUACGAUGAAGUACCUUGAGAAACUUCAAAGCCGUGCUGUCUAAAAAUCCGAAAGCUUAGAGCUGUGCCCUGCAGAGACUUCUGCCGGCUCUUAUUGACCGCAUCAUUAGAGAGACAUCUGCGAAGAGCUCUCGAAAUGUCUUCCUCAAAAUGUUGGCCGAGUCCUAAGCGUUGAAAGUCAUCAACCAGAGCAAAUAUGGUCAUGGGUUCAGCUUUUUCGUCAUUGAGAGCACCUCUCACUUCUUCCAACAUUUGUGCCUUUUCUCUCUGUAGCCUGACCUACGUUAGAAGAAAGUAAAAUCCACAGCUUAGUGUUUGAACCCUAGAAAAAAGCAAAGAAAGAUACUUCAAAGGAAGAGGUGGAAAUCUUCUAUCUGGUGGUCCCAUUUAUGUCACAUGCGUGGGAUUAUGACUAUGAUUGAUUUUUUAAAGUGAAAUAGUGUUGUGUAAAAGACCUCAAGAUACACGAGGAUAGAGGAUUUCAUCUUUUCAUGGCAUGCCGUAGAUUUUGAUAGGUUUAUAUUGCUAACUAAUCACAAAUGACAAUGGUUCAUGACUCUCUAUUUUUGUUUGGACAAGACUUCCUACAUACUUGUUGGAAGAAAACCUCUUCCAAUCAGUGUUCGGGUUGGUGGAUACAAGUACGGCAAGUGCCAUAAUUUUUGUAUGACGCUCACUUAAAUACCACAAUUUCUUUUUCAAAUGUCUAAAUGCUAUAACUUAUAUACGACACUAAUUUGAGUAUCAUAACUUCUUUUCCCAAUCACUUAAAGCACCAUAUAAUACUUAAAUAUCAUAACCUUUUUAAAAAGUCUUCACUGCAAGUGAUAUGUCAUGUUAGAUUUCCAAGAUUUGGGUAAGCAUUUAUAAAACGUUUUAGCACUUAAGUGAUAGAUUAAAAGUUACAACACUCAAGUAAACAUUUUUUAGAAGUAAUAGCACUCAAGUGAUCGAAAAAAAAAAAUUAGGACACUUAGUGAAUGCCGUAACGAAAGUUAUGAUAGUUGUGGUGUUCCUUACCUUAAGUUAUAUCCAUAUUUCGAUGAUGGCCUUCCGAUUCAUCCAUCAAAAACAUGAUUAGAGGAAACUAGUUAUGGAGGAAAAUAUGACCUAUCAAUAAAAGUGAUAAAUCUUGAUUAUGAGACCACAUGAAUUAAUAAUUAUGAAGAUGGGGAAAUCAUUAAAUCAAAUGUCCUACUCAUCAAGUUAGUACAGUGAUGCCUAACAUAAAGUUACAGCACAACCGAGUUUGAUCAACAGUUUGUACAACCAAGCGUGUCACUCUUACAAGUUUUUCUGCCGUCUAUGCUCAUAUCAUCUAGACAGACUCUAGUUACGCCUCUCCAUGAUUCGUGUACUAUCAAGGUUUCAAACUAUGGCACACCUUAACGUCUCUUAGACCUAACACAUAAUUGCCCGAGCUUGUGAGUUGUAACACCAACAAUAGAUUUUUCUUCAUUCCCAUCAUGCGAUACGCAUUUUGCAACUCAACCUGAUAUGAACUAAAUCGGGAUGUUAUCACCGUUCGAUUGACAUAGGUAUUCAGCAACCUUGAGUUGUCUAUGGUGACAACUACUCAUCCAUCAAUGUACUUAAACAUGUUUGAUAGCUUGCCUUGAUCUCUAGUCAUAUCGCUUGAGCACCCCGAAUCAACUGCCAAAUCAUUAUUAUAAUUGAUUAAUUUAUCACUUAUAGUGAAAAGGGUCGUCACAUCUUUUGACUAAAUGAUAGAGAAGAAUGCAAGCUAUUUUUAUUCGUCACUGCCAGGGACACAUGGAAAGCCCAGUCCUCUUCACCAUUAUUUUCCUCAGACGUUGCAAUGUUUCCUUCUAUUCUUUUCAAUUGAAAAUCCCUAGCAAAGUGACCUUUUUUUCUCACAAAUAUAGUAGUGAUUGUCUCAUGUUUGGCUGUUUUUACCUUCAUUCUCAUUAUCUUUAUACUGAUCCCAACGAGCUCCCCCUAGCUGAGCACUUGUCCCUUGUGGUCACCUUUGUCAAUCUUAAUAGGAGUUUUUUUUUCUCAAUUUACCAUUUUUAGUGCGAGCACCAUUUCUCAUCUAACUCUUAAACCCUCUUUUAUUACUAAAGAGGGUAGUCUUAUCAUCAUUUACUAAGACCUUAGACAUCUAUUUUUCUAAAGCCUCUUGGUUGGCCAAAAUAUUCUCCAAAUCGGUCAAAGUUGGAUCUUUAGCCCAUCCACAAGGGGCUGUAACAAUAGUGUUUUACUCUAGUCAUACCCCGUGAAUGGUGAUUCUUUUUAUCCUAGUCUCAAAGAUGGUACUUUGAGGAUCUAACUUUGAAUUUUCUUCCAAAAAUAUUUGACUUAGGAAAAAUAUCAUAUCCUAUUGCUAGAUCAAUAGUAACUUGUUUUUCAAUUAUUCUAACUCGCUAUCAUUUAUCCUCACAAACAAUGCCACCAAAGCAUCCUAUGCUGUCUUCAAAGGCUUUGCACUCUUGAUAUGCUGCAAUAAUUCAUCUUCUACUGUGACCGCAAGACUUUGAGAGUCUUACCAUCAUUGAUCUUCCACUUCCUCCACUCUUCAUCAUUAGUGGAUGGUUUGGUAUUGUCAUUGCUAACGAUAUGCCACAAAUCUUGAUCUAUUAGGUAAAACUGCACAUAAUUAUUAGAAUUAUUGUAAUUGAAGUUGUUGAGCUUCUUUAUUGCCAUUCACCAAACUCAGGACAUUCGCUGACUUCGUUAAAAUGCCCAACAAUAUACCAAGUGAGCUUCGUCCCAAUUUAACCAAUCACAGUCCCUGACUAUACACUACCAAAACUCUAUUAUGGUUAAUGUCAUCGGGUCCAUUGGCCUAUCCCUCAUGAAGUUCAACUUGUUUGCAAGGCUAACAUUAUUUUGCCAUCUACAAUAAUCUAAGAGUAAAACUUUAUGCCUCACAAAUUUCCACUUGCCUUUGGUGGUCUGGAUCCAGAGAAGGGAAAAAUGACUAAAAGUGUCCUUAAUCAAUAGCAAUUGUUUCAAUUUAGUCCUAUAUCUUCUUCUUCUUCUUUUUUUAGCAAUUUUAGUCAUAAACCUUUUAUGAUUAUAUCAAUUUAGUCAUUCGAUCAAAUUUGGCCGGUCGAUAGACAAUUUUUUAAUAAUAUUUUAUUUUUUGAAUUUUUUUACUUAAUUUUUGUAUUUUUUUCUUUUCUUUUUCCUUUAUUUUCUCUCUCUUAUUUUUUCUUCAUCCCUUCUUCUUUCUCUUGCUUAGACGACGAGCCAAAAAGGGGAGGGCCAAUCAUUGUCAGUGGCGAGCCCCCAUCGGAUCUAAAAAGGGGAGAGCCAAUGGAUCGGCGAGGUCGGCCUCGCAUGGUUUGGCUAUCUCGAAACUUCCAAGAAAUCCUUCACACAAUGAAGGAGACAAAUCAAAGUGCAUCAGCGACAAUGUCAUGGAGAUCAUCUUCUUCUCCUUCAAUCAAUGGUGGGUGAUCCUCCCUUCGACGCACGCAUUGGCUGAUGGGCUCUCUCUCUUUUUCUCUAAUUUGCUAGCGGUUAGGGGUGUCAUCCGUUGCCUAGAUCCAAUGAGGCUAGGUGAGGGUGCCUCAUUGGAUUUAGGUGAGGUUGGCUUCGUUGUCGCUAAGUGAGGCAAGCCCACACCAAAUCCAGCUAGAGCUCGCCACUGGUCGGCAAUCGGCCCUCCCCUCUGGCUAGUCAUUGGAGCAAGAGGAAGAAGAUGGGAGGAGGAAGAAAAAAAAGAAAAGAAAAAAAUUCACAAAAAAUAUAUAAAAAAAUACAAAGAAAUUCAAAACAAAUAAAAUAGUAUUAAAAAAUUGUCCGCCAACGCCAGCCGGCGUCCACGCCAGCGUUAGCCAGCCAAAUUUAAUAUGAUGGACUGAAUUGGCAUAAUUAUAAAAAAAAAUUAAAAAUGAAUUAUCAAAAAAUAAGAUUUAUAACUGAAUUGAAAAAAAAAGAAGGAUUUUUUUGGUAAUUUUCCCUCCAUAUAAGAUAACAAAUUAUUCUAUCCGGUGUUUGGUAAUGUCCUCCUUUAGAUCGGAUAGUAUGUGGUUGUGGGUUUAGCAGUUUCAUCAUCAAAGGCACCUCUGACUUUAUCUUCCAACAUCUGUGCCUUUUCUUUCUAUAGCUCAAUCUACAUUAGAAUUAAGAAAAUCCAGAGCUUAGUUUUUGAAUCCUAGGAAAAAGCCAAGAGAGAUCAUUCAAAGGAAGAGGUCGAAAUCUUCAAUCUCAGGGUCCUAUUUAUGUCACAUGCAUGGGAUUAUGAUAUCUAUUAUUGACUUUUCAUGUGAUGCUAGGGAUUUUGUUUGGUUUAUAUCGCUAGCUAAUCACAAAUAAUAAAGUAUCGUACCUUUCUCUAUUCUCGUUAGGACAGAGAAAACCUCCUCCAUUCAAUAUUCAGGCCGGUGGAUACAAACAAGAACAUCACCAUAUUUAUGUGUAGUCAUAUCUACAUUCCGAUGAUGGCCCGAACUUCCAAUUCAUCCAUCAAAAACUUGAUAAGAGGAAACUAAGUACGGAGGAAAAUAUGACCCAUUAAUAAAAGUGAUAAAAUAUUGAUUAUGAGAACACGUGAAUUAGACAAGGGACGACAAUCUUCCUUGACCCCUUCAGAGUGUCCCGAGUCAAUGUCAUUUUGCUAUUGUGGAAAGAUCUUCCACAGCAUUGACAUCUUGUCUAAAAACAUGCAAAUCAGAAGCCGAAACUUCAGCAAUUGAGAUGUGUGGAUAUGGCUUUUCCAAAUAAAUCGAUGUCUAUGAAUAGCUCCAAUUCAUCCAACGUGACAUAAAUAUCGUGCACAUCAUCAAUGACGGUUAUAGACUUGUUCACCUUGGUUAGCCCUUGACAGAAGUUGGGGAAGGGCUCAUCUAUCACCGCGGGCCAUUGGCUUAUCCCUCACGAAAUUCAACUUGUUUGCAAGGCUAACAUUAUUCCGCCAUCUACAAUAAUUUAGUAAAAUUUUAGAGCUGCCUCACAAUUUUCCACUUGCCUUUGGUAGUCCGAAUAUAAGUCCAGACGAGGGGAAAAUUGCCAAAAGAGUCCUUAUCCAAUUGCAAUUUUUCCAAUUUAGUCCUAAACUUUGUUUUUUUUUUUAGCCAUUUCAAUCCUAAACAUUUUUGCAAUUGUGCCGAUUCAAUCCAUCCAACCAAAUUUGGUCGGCCAACAAACAAUUUUUUGAUAAUAUAUAUUUUUUAAUUUGUUAAUUUUUUAUUCUUUUAUUAUUUUUCAUUUUUUUCUCUCUUAUUUUUCCUUCCUCCCUUCUUCCUCUUGCUCCAACGACCAGCCAAAAGGGAGGGCUGGUCACCGGCCAAUGGCGAGCCCCCGUCGGACUUGGCAAGAGCUUGCCUUGCCCAAUGACAGCGAGGCUGACCUCACCCACAUCUGACAAGGCAAGUCCUAGCCAGUGGAUCGAUGAGGUCGGCCUCACAUGGUUUGGCUAUCUCAAAACUUCCAAGAAAUCCUUUGCAUGACUAAAGAGACAAAUCGAAGUGCAUCGACGACGAUGUCAUAGAGACUGUCUUCUUCUCCUCCAAUUAAUGGUGGGUGAUCCUCCCUUCGACGUGCACACCAACGGGCUCUCUCUCUCGUUUUCUCUUAUUUGCGGGCCAUCAGGGGUGUCGUCCAUGGCCCAGAUCUGAUGAGGCACCCUCGCCCAACCUCUGGCGAGAGCUCUCCUCGCCAAAUCUAGGUGAGGUUGACCUCAUUGUCACUAGGCGAGGCAAGCCCACACCAAAUCAAGUGGGAGCUCGCCUCUAGCUGGCAAUCGGCCCUCCCCUCUAGCUAGUCACCGAAGCAAGAAGAUGGAGGAGGGAGGAAGAAAAAAAGAGAGAAUAAAUUCACAAAAAAAAUAUUAAAAAAUUAUCCAUCAGGACCGGCCGCACGUUCACAUCAAUGUUGGCAAACCAAAAUUAGCCCAAUGAACUGAUUUGGCAUAAUUACAAAAUGUUUAGGAUUGAAUUAUCAAAAAACUAAGGUUUAGAAUGAAUUGAAAAAAAUUUAAAACUUUUUUGGUAAUUUUCAUUUCAUAUAAGAUAACAAAUUAUUCUAUCUAGUGUCUAGUGACGUCCUCCUCUAGAUCAGAUAAUCUUGGAGUGAAUGUGGUUAUGGGUUCAGCAGUUUCAUCAUCAAGGGCACCUCCAACUUUCUUUUCCAACAUAUAUGCAUUUUCUCUCUAUAGCUCAAUCUACAUUAGAAUUUAAAAAAAAAAAAAUCCAUAGCUUAGUUUUUGAAUCCUAGGAAAAAGCCAAGGAAGAUAAUUCAAAGGAAGAGGUCGAAAUUUUCAAUCUUAGGGUCCUAUCUAUGUCGCGUGUGUGGGAUUAUGAUAUCUAUGAUUGACUUUUCAUGUGAUGCUGGGGAUUUUGUUUGGUUUAUAUCGCUGGCUAAUCACAAAUAAUAAAGGAUUGUACUUUUCUCUAUUCUCGUUAGGACAAAACUUCCUCCAUCCUUGUUGGGAGAAAACCUCCUCCGUUCAAUAUUUAGGCUGAUGGAUACAAGCAAGAGCAUCACCAUAUUUAUGUGUAGUCAUAUCUACAUUCCGGUGAUGGCCACAACUUCCAAUACAUCCAUCAAAAACAUGAUAAAGAGAAACUAGGUAUGGAGGAAAAUAUGAUCUAUUAAUAAAAGUGAUAAAAUAUUGAUUAUGAGACCACAUGAAUAAGCAAUCACGGCAAUGGAGAGAUUGUUAAAUCGAAUUUCUUAGUUAUCAAGUUAUUAGAGUGAUGCCUACCAUAAAGGUAUGGCACUACCAAGUUUGAUCGACGGUUUGUUCUAGGAUAAUAAUCCUCUCUAAUUCCAAAAUUUCAUCUGUCUUCUUGAGAAAGUGAGGAUAAUUGAAUUCUCAAUUAGACUAAUUCCCCACUGAUACACCAAACCGCCCUGUCCAUCCAUGUACCUUUGGUAAUGCCCCACCCACAAUCGGCAGAUGUAGAAUCCAGGCUAGUUUGAGCGGAAGACGCUAUGGUUCGAAUACAAGAUGUCUUGACUCCGAACCCAGCGUUUAACCAUUCGUCUAAACAUUAGAGUUAAGUUCGUGCUAAAUUGCGAAAAGCAUCUUUCUUUCUUUUAACUUUAGCAUAAAUAUCUCGUAUAACAAGAGGGUGCUUUACCGAGCAACGGGAUUGGCGACCUCCGUCGGCCACAAGAGACUGAAGGUAAUUGUAAGUCCAGACGGUUGGCUGAUAAUUGGCCCAUCUCCGUCCUCCUUGAGUAUCAGAGACUUGCGUGCUCACUGAACAAUGGACUCGACCAUUAGCCGUCAGAGAGGAAAGCUUCAGAAGCUAAGGCGUGGCCAAAAAGAUGGAGUGCCAUUAAUCGCGCGAACUGGAUUAAAGCCAAUCUUACAUAAGGUGAAAACUCAGCGAUCUGUGCACGCCCUCGUUAGCGUGAACAGUCCCCUAUUUAUACAUAAUUUUUUUUUUAUUUACUAAAACAUGACGAUGGAAUACGCUGAUAGAUUUUCGACUUCAAGCGAUCAUCGCUGUUGUCGAGGUGGACCACAUCCUCUCGUCCUAUCGUUUUUCUAUGUAAGCUCGAUCACACGUUGCUGGAUCGUCUCUCGUCAAAUCUCUGUCUGUGUUUGCUCAACCAUACGAUGCUGUAAUCGUCUCUCGUUCACUCGUUGGUCUCUUUGAUUGGCGCGCGUGAAGUUGUGUCGUUCUUGUGGUAUCAUAUCGACAGUCCCUUCGCCUGGGCUUGCGGGCCUUAUCGCAGGGAUUAGAUUUUUUGAAAGAUCGGGACUCUUGACGGCCUUGCACCCAUCCAUUUUGCCGACCGUCCUCGUUAUUCCCAUGAAUCUCUUAACAAGCUACGCAAAUCACGUGGAUUUCCUUUUCGGGUUCAUAUGAAAUCAGUGCGGUCUUAACUUACUUCGAUUGUGCCGAAUAAAAUCCCCAUGACACACCAAGAGGCUCCCACUGCUGAUACUAGAUAAGUCUGAAACAAGUAUUUUUCAGAUUCAAACUCGACACAUGGAAGUGGGGUCGCAAUGACACCUCAAAACACGCCUCCAUUAAUGGGAAAAUUGAACCCUCACCUUCCAGAUCUCAGCCCCGACCAACUAGAUUACGCUUUGAUGCAAUAAUUAAUAUCGAUUGAUUGAGCGCGUGAUAUCGAGUUAAUAUGCUACAUUAUGUAGCUCUCGCUAUGAAAGACUUCUGUACGCUAUUUUGAAAAUGUGAACUCCGGGGAAAGAGGAGAUGGCCUUCGCUUCGCUGAUGAGCAAACAGGAGUAACUCUUAACGUUCGUUGAGUUCAAAAGAGUCCAUUUUUACGUGUGAAGAUCAGUUUAUCAAGGGCCAUAGACGGGGAGCCGAUCGCUUUGAUAGGUAAGCUUUUGAUUUCACUCGCCAGCAUUCAAUCUUCCCCCCCUUUUGUACUCCAAAGCACCCACCUCAUUAUUCAUCGUCCAAACAAUCUGUAUGGACAAUUUUCUUGGUUUGUUGGUCGCUUGAUAAAGUAAAUCAGGCAUUAUCACUCUUUCGAGUCUUAUCCACGUAUGACAUUUGUGUUGACAUCAUGCAGACAAACUCUAGGCAACGCCCCUUCAUAAUUGGGGUACUAGUGGGGUUUCGAAUUGUGGCACACCUCAACAUCUCUUGGACUGUACAUUUAUGUUCCGCUAAAAUUAAUCUCGCGAUGAAAAUUUUUUCGCCGAAAGUCAUUCUUCAAUUUUUUAGUAGAGGAGACAGGUUUCAUGAUGAUUUCAGAUAGAAAAUAUCAUAGGUAGACAAGAAACUACAAACCAAACAUAGGAAUUUUAUUGACGAAAACGCUUGAAAAAUACAAUCACUUCAACCCAACCAAAUGUAAACAAACCAUACCGGAAUUUAAUCAACAAUGCGACACUUGGGAUAAAAAUACACAUCGAAAUUUAAUCGACAACACAGAUCUGGAAAUUAUAGCUAAGAAACUCACUGGAAUUUAAUUGACAUGAGUCUGAAAUUGAGAGUACAAUAUAGAAACUCCUUCAACGAGGGGGAGAAAAUGUAAUUUAGGUCAAAAUUCCUCCAUCCAAACCUGGCUCGAGAGAAACUGGAUCAAUUAUUAGUGAGUGCACACGGUUCAUCGAUAGAUCGUCUGGAGCUCCAACUGCAUCUCCGUCAUGGUACAUACAAUGCGCCAUCCGUGCAAGGUUGAAAGCCAUCCGCACAAAAGAUUGAUUGAAGGUUGAGUCAUUGACUAGAUAUUUGUUCAGCUUCUUCCACGUUGUGUCGAUCAUUUUUAUAACGUAUUUGCGAGCCUCUAACUCGGAGACCCCCAUUUCUUGCAUGUAACACCAGAUUGAAUUUGUCGUCUCUCCCCUCUCGAGCUCAGCCUAUUAGGAACAUGAUUUUGCCAAUUGUUUUAGAAGAAGCUGCCCGAGAAAUUAUGAAUAUGUGGACAGAAAUUUCAGUUGUUUGGCUACAGAAAAAUGUGCCUGUAUAAGGUUUAUUGUGACAUGAAAAAAAAAAAAAAAAAAGGACUGAAGAGAGGUGUGCCUAUAUAAGAUUUAUUGUGACACGAAAAACAAAAAAAAGGGACUGAAGAGAGCUGAAAACAUGCAUACCGAUGAGGUAGCGAGAUCAUUGGUAAGACGGAAAAUCAUGGAUGGCAACCGCAAGAGAUCAUGGUAAUGUUCUAGUGAUUCAAGUUCCUCCUUUCUCAUGCUUGGACUGGAUAAAAAGUAGGCAUGAAUCAACAUGACAUGCCCUGAUACUGAAAUC